rnacentral:rRNA from 1 species
UUUAAAUUUAGAGUUUGAUCCUGGCUCAGGACGAACGCUGGCGGCGUGCUUAACACAUGCAAGUCGAGCGAUGAAGCUUCCUUCGGGAAGUGGAUUAGCGGCGGACGGGUGAGUAACACGUGGGUAACCUGCCUCAAAGUGGGGGAUAGCCUUCCGAAAGGAAGAUUAAUACCGCAUAAUAUAAGAGAAUCGCAUGAUUUUCUUAUCAAAGAUUUAUUGCUUUGAGAUGGGCCCGCGGCGCAUUAGCUAGUUGGUAAGGUAACGGCUUACCAAGGCAACGAUGCGUAGCCGACCUGAGAGGGUGAUCGGCCACAUUGGAACUGAGACACGGUCCAGACUCCUACGGGAGGCAGCAGUGGGGAAUAUUGCGCAAUGGGGGAAACCCUGACGCAGCAACGCCGCGUGGGUGAUGAAGGUCUUCGGAUUGUAAAGCCCUGUUUUCUAGGACGAUAAUGACGGUACUAGAGGAGGAAGCCACGGCUAACUACGUGCCAGCAGCCGCGGUAAUACGUAGGUGGCGAGCGUUGUCCGGAUUUACUGGGCGUAAAGGGUGCGUAGGCGGAUGUUUAAGUGGGAUGUGAAAUCCCCGGGCUUAACCUGGGGGGCUGCAUUCCAAACUGGAUAUCUAGAGUGCAGGAGAGGAAAGCGGAAUUCCUAGUGUAGCGGUGAAAUGCGUAGAGAUUAGGAAGAACACCAGUGGCGAAGGCGGCUUUCUGGACUGUAACUGACGCUGAGGCACGAAAGCGUGGGUAGCAAACAGGAUUAGAUACCCUGGUAGUCCACGCCGUAAACGAUGGAUACUAGGUGUAGGGGGUAUCAACUCCCCCUGUGCCGCAGUUAACACAAUAAGUAUCCCGCCUGGGGAGUACGGUCGCAAGAUUAAAACUCAAAGGAAUUGACGGGGGGCCCGCACAAGCAGCGGAGCAUGUGGUUUAAUUCGAAGCAACGCGAAGAACCUUACCUGGACUUGACAUCCCUUGCAUAGCCUAGAGAUAGGUGAAGCCCUUCGGGGCAAGGAGACAGGUGGUGCAUGGUUGUCGUCAGCUCGUGUCGUGAGAUGUUAGGUUAAGUCCUGCAACGAGCGCAACCCUUGUUAUUAGUUGCUACCAUUAAGUUGAGCACUCUAAUGAGACUGCCUGGGUAACCAGGAGGAAGGUGGGGAUGACGUCAAAUCAUCAUGCCCCUUAUGUCCAGGGCUACACACGUGCUACAAUGGUAGGUACAAUAAGACGCAAGACCGUGAGGUGGAGCAAAACUUAUAAAACCUAUCUCAGUUCGGAUUGUAGGCUGCAACUCGCCUACAUGAAGCUGGAGUUGCUAGUAAUCGCGAAUCAGAAUGUCGCGGUGAAUACGUUCCCGGGCCUUGUACACACCGCCCGUCACACCAUGAGAGCUGGUAACACCCGAAGUCCGUGAGGUAACCGUAAGGAACCAGCGGCCGAAGGUGGGAUUAGUGAUUGGGGUGAAGUCGUAACAAGGUAGCCGUAGGAGAACCUGCGGCUGGAUCACCUCCUUUCUA